ACUACACAAACACACUGCAUUAUAUACACACACUACACAAACACACUGUGUAUAUAAUGCAGUGUGUUUGUGUAGU
rnacentral:miRNA from 1 species